UUCAUAGAAAAGAGAACAGGAAAUUGUUAUUGUCAUCUGACAUAUUGUGAUUUCAUGGUCUGUUUUCCUGGAAGUUGGGCAGGAAGGAUGGAAAUGAAAGAUAUACCUGUUUGUCACAUAUCAGAUAUAUACUAGCAUGAAUAUGUGUAAUUUAAGGACAGGGAAACUCAUUCAGGUUUUGGUGCAUUGAUCAUAUUAAGAACAUGACUCUUAAAUUUUUGGUUGUUGGAACUGAGUCAUGAAUUUCAAUUGUGAUAAUUAAGCUUCAAGUAUUUGGUGUAAAUUCUAUAUCUUUUUUUAUUUAAAAGGAAAACAAAAAUACAUUGUUUUGUUUUGUUUUUCUGAUGCUUUGUAUUAUAAUGGUGACGGUGGAUUUGCAGAGAACUGUGUUAGCCAAACUGUGGACCAUUUGAAACCUAUAACCUUUAGUGAUGUUCCUCUUACAUGUACACCGUACAUGUAAAGAAUGUUACAGACUGUCAAGUUCAAAGAUUUCCUUAAUAAAUGGAAAGUCUCU
rnacentral:sRNA from 1 species